UACGGAGGGUGCAAGCGUUGUCCGGAAUCACUGGGCGUAAAGGGCGCGUAGGCGGCUCAUGAAGGCUGUGGUGAAAGCCCAGGGCUCAACUCUGGGUCGGCCACUGAUACUCGCGAGCUCGAGUUUGGUAGAGGCAGAUGGAAUUCCGGGUGUAGCGGUGAAAUGCGUAGAUAUCAAGAGGAACACCAGUGGCGAAGGCGAGUCCCUGGACAACACCUGACACUGAGGCACGAAAGCUAGGGGAGCAAACAGG
rnacentral:rRNA from 1 species